rnacentral:misc_RNA from 1 species
CAACCCUCAGGCUCUCAGCUGCCUGGUGUUGGGGCACCUACCGCAUACGUAGGCCCCGAAAAUUAGUGGCGGUGCUCGCCAGCACUCCGGGCGUAGUAAUUUCUCUCUCGCCUUGGACGUCUGGUAGCCUACCGGCCGUGAAAACCCCCCUAUAUUAUCAAU